rnacentral:miRNA from 1 species
ACUCUGCAAUAUCCUUUUCGUUUUAAAAUCCAUUUUUAUUAAAGAUUUACAAGAACAUCUUUAAUAAAAAUGAAUUUAAAAACGAAAAGGAUAUUGCAGAGU